rnacentral:rRNA from 1 species
GACGAACGCUGGCGGCGUGCUUUACACAUGCAAGUCGAACGGAGCGUAGCAAUACGCUUAGUGGCGGACGGGUGAGUAACGCGUGAGCAAUCUGCCUUGUACAACGGGAUAACACAGAGAAAUUUGUGCUAAUACGGUAUAAGACCACAGUGGGGCAUCCCACAGGGGUAAAAGAAAUUCGGUACAAGAGGAGCUCGCGUCCCAUUAGCUAGUUGGCGGGGUAACGGCCCACCAAGGCGACGAUGGGUAGCCGAUCUGAGAGGAUGAACGGCCACACUGGAACUGAGACACGGUCCAGACUCCUACGGGAGGCAGCAGUGGGGAAUAUUGGGCAAUGGAGGCAACUCUGACCCAGCAACGCCGCGUGAAUGAAGAAGGUCUUCGGAUUGUAAAGUUCUUUAAUUGGUGACGAACAAAUGACGGUAGCCAAAGAAUAAGCCACGACUAACUACGUG